GGGAAACAAAGAAACGAGAAAAAAAAAUUAAAAAUAGGAUUAGAGAGUUCAUGGGGAGAGAGCAGGUUUUCUUCCUCUGUAAUCGAGCAAACUACUAGGACAAGUAAGCAUUUAACACGUGUCGGUCUUGAAUACGACCUCACAGCGUGGCAAUUUCUCUAACUCUCUGACGUGUCUGAAUGGGGACCACUUUGUCUUCCGACACUUCGGCAUGGUUUUUCACAUUCACUUUUCUCUUUCCAUCCUCGUUUGAGAAGCGCGUCUUCCUCACUCUCUUUCCUUCUCCAUUUAAUAGUGUUGUUUUCCCUUUGAACGUUACAAUUUAUUUUUUCCUGUAACGAUAAUUAUACUGAUUUGCAAGUAUGAUUUUACUGAUACAAUCUCCAGUUAUUUUCUGCAAUUAGCAGAGCGCGUGAAGAAGACGAGUAAACGGAACUGAGUCGGCACGUGCUAACAAAACUCGCUCGUUUCCCAAGACGCUCGUCCCAUAAAGAGUCAUGGCUGUGGCUUGUGCGAGUGUGGGUGUUAGCCAUAACUGUGGGUCCAAUUUAAGAUUCAUCGAUUAAUGGCACAUUAUGUAACGAUACAAAAAAUCGGAACUUACAAGAAAACUUAAAAAAAAAAAACUCACCGUGGUAAGCCGACACCUUUGCCUGCCACGAGCCAGACAUAAGAAAAAUAGACGAUGUGGGUAACGGCACCGUCAAGUCUUGAAGGAAACGGGAUCAGUUGUAACGUCUAGGCUACAUCAUCGUCUUUAUCGGACGGCUAAGAGUGAUCCUCAAUUGUUAAAUGCACCACCGUACGUUUUGCAAGUUAAACCACGGUUUAAUAUUCGUAGUUAAAACAGAUCAAAGCAGCUCCGUAAUAAUUAUGUAACAUCGUUAUUCUUCGUAUACUUUUUCCAGUCUUAAAUAAAUUCGGACCAAAAAUAAAUAAAGUAUAAUACUCUUUCCGUUCUUAAAAAAU
rnacentral:lncRNA from 1 species